rnacentral:lncRNA from 1 species
GAUAUUUAACUUUAUAUUUUUUUCCCUUUUAUAUUACACUGUUAUAAUUUUUAGACAGACAUAUUUCUAAUUAUAAAAUUGAUAUUUUACUUAAAGUAUAAACAAAAAUUAGAGAAAUAUAUUUGAAAAUAUUAGAAUUUUUAUAGAGACAACAUAUGAAAAUUGAACUUUAUAGGAAUGUAUUUACAAUUUACUAUAUUUGCAAGGAUUUGUAUGCAUUUAACCUUAUUAAAUAAAUUUGUAAAUGCACUA